UACGAAGGGGGCUAGCGUUGUUCGGAAUUACUGGGCGUAAAGGGCGCGUAGGCGGUGUGUCAAGUCAGGCGUGAAGGCCCCGGGCUCAACCUGGGAACAGCGCUUGAGACUGGCACGCUCGAGUUCGGGAGAGGAUGGUGGAAUUCCCAGUGUAGAGGUGAAAUUCGUAGAUAUUGGGAAGAACACCGAUGGCGAAGGCAGCCAUCUGGACCGACAUUGACGCUGAGGCGCGAAAGCGUGGGGAGCAAACAGG
rnacentral:rRNA from 1 species